rnacentral:rRNA from 1 species
GUACACGCUGUGACUAGCAUAUCAAUAAGCGGAGGAAAAGAAACUAACAAGGAUUCCCCUAGUAACGGCGAGUGAAGCGGGAAGAGCUCAAAUUUGAAAUCUUAAAGGGUUUCCCUUUACGAAUUGUAGUUUAAAGAAGUGUUUUCUGUUGAGGUUUUGGUAAAAGUUCUUUGGAAUAGGACAUCAUAGAGGGUGAGAAUCCCGUAUUUGACCUUUACUUUCAACUUUGUGAUACACUUUCAAAGAGUCGGAUUGUUUGGGAAUGCAGUCCAAAAUGGGUGGUAAAUUUCAUCUAAAGCUAAAUAUUGGCGAGAGACCGAUAGCGAACAAGUACCGUGAGGGAAAGAUGAAAAGAACUUUGAAAAGAGAGUUAAACAGUACGUGAAAUUGUCAAAAGGGAAGCGUUUGACACCAGUGUUGUUUUUCUGAAAAUCAAUUAAAGAACUGUUUAUGCUAAGUUGUUUAGACUUUAUCAGCUAACUGUUUAGUUUUGAGCUUUUCUUUAAUGCACUUUUCAGUUAACAAGUCAACAUCAAUUUCUUUUGCUGUAAAAAAGCUUGAGGAAGGUGGCUUGAGAUUCGUCUUAAGUGUUUAUAGCCUCUUGCCUAUGCAGUCGGAGAGAUUGAGGUCUGCAGCGUAGAUCCUUCGGGGCUAAAUGCAUUUGUGCUAAGUUAUAGCAUUUUAUAGACAACUUGUUGACUAUGAUUUGUCUUGUAGCUUACUCGCUUAUGUUAUUUUACCUACGCUUAGGAUGUUGACGAGACUGUCGAUUC